rnacentral:rRNA from 2 species
GCAUAUCAAUAAGCGGAGGAAAAGAAACCAACCGGGAUUGCCUCAGUAACGGCGAGUGAAGCGGCAAGAGCUCAAAUUUGAAAGCUGGCUCCUUCGGAGUCCGCAUUGUAAUUUGCAGAGGAUGCUUUGGGUGCGGCCCCCGUCUAAGUGCCCUGGAACGGGCCGUCAGAGAGGGUGAGAAUCCCGUCUUGGGCGGGGUGUCCGUGCCCGUGUAAAGCUCCUUCGACGAGUCGAGUUGUUUGGGAAUGCAGCUCUAAAUGGGUGGUAAAUUUCAUCUAAAGCUAAAUACUGGCCGGAGACCGAUAGCGCACAAGUAGAGUGAUCGAAAGAUGAAAAGCACUUUGAAAAGAGAGUUAAACAGCACGUGAAAUUGUUGAAAGGGAAGCGCUUGCGACCAGACUCGCCCGCGGGGUUCAGCCGGCAUUCGUGCCGGUGUACUUCCCCGUGGGCGGGCCAGCGUCGGUUUGGGCGGCCGGUCAAAGGCCCCUGGAAUGUAGUGCCCUCCGGGGCACCUUAUAGCCAGGGGUGCAAUGCGGCCAGCCUGGACCGAGGAACGCGCUUCGGCACGGACGCUGGCAUAAUGGUCGUAAACGACCCGUCUUGAAACACGGACCAAGGAGUCUAACAUCUACGCGAGUGUUCGGGUGUCAAACCCGUGCGCGCAGUGAAAGCGAACGGAGGUGGGAGCCCCCUUGCGGGGCGCACCAUCGACCGAUCCUGAUGUCUUCGGAUGGAUUUGAGUAAGAGCGUAGCUGUGGGGACCCGAAAGAUGGUGAACUAUGCCUGAAUAGGGCGAAGCCAGAGGAAACUCUGGUGGAGGCUCGCAGCGGUUCUGACGUGCAAAUCGAUCGUCAAAUUUGGGUAUAGGGGCGAAAGACUAAUCGAACCAUCUAGUAGCUGGUUCCUGCG